rnacentral:lncRNA from 10 species
ACAAAAAUGCAAGUAAUAUUUCCAUCUGGAACUUCUGGCAUGACUUAAAAUGAUUCCUGACUCCAAGUAUUCAUGUCCUGUGUGAUCUUAUUCCAUUGAGUGUGGGCUAGACAUAGCAAUGUAAUGAAUAGAAUAUUGUAAAAGUGAGGUGAUGUCACUUCAGUUAUACAAGACCAUUGCUGUCAUUUUGCUGGUAGACUUUCUUUUUUGUUGGCUUUGAUGGAAUAAGUUGUUGUGUUGGAGAGUCCCACAAGGUAAAGACCUGGGGCAGCCUCUGGCCAAUAGCCAGCCAUAUGCUGAGGCUCUCGUUCCAACAGUCUGCAAGUCUUCCCCACAACCAGGUCAGUGAGCUUGGUUGAAAUAGAUUCUUCUGCAGUUGAACCUUCAGAUGCGACUCCAGGACUCAAUUGUAGUCUGUGAAUGACCCUGAAACAGAGGGACCAGAUAAUCUCUUCUUGGACUCCUGGCUAACAAUAACUUAGAUGAUAUAUGUGUAUUGUUUUAACCAUUACUUAUUGGGGUAUUUUAGGCAUUAAAUAAUUUUAUUUUUUUCAUGUAUAUUUGCAUGGUUUUAUUUCCAUAAAUCAUCAACUGAGACUUUUAAAUCUUGGUUUUUGCAGUCCGUAUUCUCCACGUGAGAGAGAGCAGUCAGUCACAUAGUCCUGAUUCUAUGAGUAAAAACUGAGAAGAGCUCAUACCUGUUAUAUCUCAUUUCAAAAUUACAACAAUGCUAUGAGGGAUGUAGGCUGAUAGUAGGGGACAGAUGUCUAUAUUAGUGCCAUUUUUUAAAAGAUGCCAACACUAACAAAGGAUCAGGUGUGUAGAAGAGAAGAAACCAUAUGUCUAAAGGAGUGAAGGUGAAUGGAAAAUUAUAUUUUAAAGUCCUUCCAUCAUAUAACAGUUGCCUCCUUCACUACUGAUAUUUAUGAUUUCCACUGCUCUUUAAUGGAAAAUUUACAAAAACAAAAUUGAUUAUAAUUGUGUGUGUGUGUGUGUGUGUGUAGGUGAAAGAACAUCGCUAUAAUUUAAUUUGAGAAUGUUGCAUUCCUUCUAGGUGAAAGCAUUCAAUCUUCUGUUUUUCCGGGAGCUGAACCAUUUGUGGCAUGCUAGGCUGGGUGAAUUUGAGAUUCCCACAAAAAUUUGUUAUCCUGAGACUAACCCAGUAUUGUUUCAGAUAAAGACUAAAAUAUCCAUCCUCUCCUUGGGUGAUAAUAUAAAAUCACUAAGGACUGCGGGGAUGGCUUUGUCGUUUCCCCCAGCACUUGCUUUCACACCUUUUUGUGCCACUGAGCAAACAUUUAACAAAGAGGAAAAUAACAGCAAUUUGUUCUGACUGGUAAGCUCAACAUGCGAUGCCAAGUUAUAGUAGCUUUCUGGAAACUAAAUAUGCUCAGUAAUGUACGUGUGUGUGCGUGUGUUUGUGUGUGUGUGUGUGUUCUCACAUACUUCAUCAACAAAAGAUCAUGACCUCAAUUUAGGUAUUCAUGAGCAAUUACAGAAAAAGUUUCAAAAUGUAAAGAAAUAUUACAUAUUACAUAUAUGUAUAUGUGCAUAUAUAUGAGUGCAUGUAAAUAUGUCUAUCCAAUUUGUUUUUAAUUAAUAGUUUGUUAAUACAGACAUCCCAAAGGGUGCGUAUGAUCAAGCCAUUAGAAAGCUCUCUGGAAUUAUCAAGGGCUCCUUAACUACUAAAUAAUAAGUCAGUCAUAUCAAGGAGCUGGCUCUAUGAGGUAACUGCAGACACUAAGUGCUUCUUGGUCCUACACUAAAAAUUCUGGAACUUUUCACUACUGCAUCCUUUCAUCAGUACCCAGAGAAUGGAGGAGCAGCACUUCUUUUCUUAGAAAAACCAUUUCUAAAACAACCGCCAACUCAACCCCUACUUCCCCGAAACUGUACAAAAUCAUCCGUAUUUUAUUAUUUAUUUCUUUAUCUUUUUCUCAGUUCCUGGAGGACAGGACCUAUAUCAUCUGCUUCUUUUCCCAUUAAAUCCUCCUCCAAACUAUUUAUUCAGUGACUAUCUUACUCUUCUUCCCAGGACUCAAGGAAGCCUUUCAAAGGAGUGCUGCAGUCAAACUAGAGAGUUGGGGUUGCCAGUACUUGGACACAAACCAUGAUGCUAACUGAGAGUUUUCUGCUUAUAUGCUUCUCAGAAGGCUGUGAAAAGAAUUACAUUCUGGAUUGGGCCUAGGUUCUUAUGGCAGCUGUAAGCAUUUUAUGAAAGAGAUACUUCCCUGAAACCAUCAGUUUGUAAAUUGGCUUAUGUUUUCUUGUUCUAUGAAAAUUAACUCUUUUUGCAACAAUUUUUUGGAGAAGGAAUUUAUCUAAUAAACAAUUACUUCCAA